rnacentral:rRNA from 1 species
GGCGGAAUGCUUUACACAUGCAAGUCGAGCGGCAGCGCGGGGCAACCUGGCGGCGAGCGGCGAACGGGUGAGUAACACAUCGGAACAUGUCCAUUCGUGGGGGAUAGCCCGGCGAAAGCCGGAUUAAUACCGCAUACGCCCUUUGGGGGAAAGCGGGGGACUUCGCAAGAGGCCUCGCGCGAAUGGGUUGGCCGAUGUCCGAUUAGCUAGUUGGUGGGGUAAAGGCUCACCAAGGCGAUGAUCGGUAGCUGGUCUGAGAGGAUGAUCAGCCACACUGGGACUGAGACACGGCCCAGACUCCUACGGGAGGCAGCAGUGGGGAAUUUUGGACAAUGGGGGCAACCCUGAUCCAGCCAUUCCGCGUGAGUGAAGAAGGCCUUCGGGUUGUAAAGCUCUUUUGUCCGGAGCGAAACGGGUGGUGUUAAUAGCGCCAUCUACUGACGGUACCGGAAGAAUAAGCACCGGCUAACUACGUGCCAGCAGCCGCGGUAAUACGUANGGUGCGAGCGUUAAUCGGAAUUACUGGGCGUAAAGCGUGCGCAGGCGGUUUUGUA